UACAGAGGUCUCAAGCGUUGUUCGGAUUCAUUGGGCGUAAAGGGUGUGUAGGUGGCGCCGUAAGUGGGGUGUGAAAUCUUGGAGCUUAACUCCGAAACUGCAUUCGAUACUGCCGUGCUUGAGGACUGGAGAGGAGACUGGAAUUUACGGUGUAGCGGUGAAAUGCGUAGAUAUCGUAAGGAAGACCAGUGGCGAAGGCGGGUCUCUGGACAGUUCCUGACGCUGAGGCACGAAGGUCAGGGGAGCAAACGGG
rnacentral:rRNA from 1 species